UACGUAGGGAGCAAGCGUUAUCCGGAUUUACUGGGUGUAAAGGGCGCGUAGGCGGGAUGGCAAGUCAGAUGUGAAAUCCAGGGGCUCAACCCCUGAACUGCAUUUGAAACUGUCGUUCUUGAGUACUGGAGAGGUUGACGGAAUUCCUAGUGUAGCGGUGAAAUGCGUAGAUAUUAGGAGGAACACCAGUGGCAAAGGCGGUCAACUGGACAGCAACUGACGCUGAGGCGCGAAAGCGUGGGGAGCAAACAGG
rnacentral:rRNA from 1 species